CAAUAAAUCGUGCGCUGUGUCGUCGGUAUACACACGUAUAUUAAGUGGACGUGGGUGGGCAGAGGAUAUUACCACUUACACGCUUAUAAAUAUAUAAUGUACGUCAUAUAUAAUACAGUUCAUGACCAGUGUGUAAACCCAACAAUAUCUUACUGCUCAAGGUACGAACAAAUACGCAUAAUAUUAUUAUUAUAAUAUAUAGAAGCUUAUUAUCAUACUGCAGGCG